CACGUGGGUAACCUGCCUGUAAGACUGGGAUAACUCCGGGAAACCGGGGCUAAUACCGGAUGCUUGUUUGAACCGCAUGGUUCAAACAUAAAAGGUGGCUUCGGCUACCACUUACAGAUGGACCCGCGGCGCAUUAGCUAGUUGGUGAGGUAAUGGCUCACCAAGGCGACGAUGCGUAGCCGACCUGAGAGGGUGAUCGGCCACACUGGGACUGAGACACGGCCCAGACUCCUACGGGAGGCAGCAGUAGGGAAUCUUCCGCAAUGGACGAAAGUCUGACGGAGCAACGCCGCGUGAGUGAUGAAGGUUUUCGGAUCGUAAAGCUCUGUUGUUAGGGAAGAACAAGUACCGUUCGAAUAGGGCGGUACCUUGACGGUACCUAACCAGAAAGCCACGGCUAACUACGUGCCAGCAGCCGCGGUAAUACGUAGGUGGCAAGCGUUGUCCGGAAUUAUUGGGCGUAAAGGGCUCGCAGGCGGUUUCUUAAGUCUGAUGUGAAAGCCCCCGGCUCAACCGGGGAGGGUCAUUGGAAACUGGGGAACUUGAGUGCAGAAGAGGAGAGUGGAAUUCCACGUGUAGCGGUGAAAUGCGUAGAGAUGUGGAGGAACACCAGUGGCGAAGGCGACUCUCUGGUCUGUAACUGACGCUGAGGAGCGAAAGCGUGGGGAGCGAACAGGAUUAGAUACCCUGGUAGUCCACGCCGUAAACGAUGAGUGCUAAGUGUUAGGGGGUUUCCGCCCCUUAGUGCUGCAGCUAACGCAUUAAGCACUCCGCCUGGGGAGUACGGUCGCAAGACUGAAACUCAAAGGAAUUGACGGGGGCCC
rnacentral:rRNA from 2 species